rnacentral:SRP_RNA from 1 species
UGCCAGGGGCCGCGGAGUGUGGGCUGGUGAACCCGGUCAGGACGGAAACGUAGCAGCCGUAGCUUGUCCCCCAUUGCCGCGGUCCUCUGGUUUUU